rnacentral:sRNA from 1 species
UUGUGUUUUCUGCAGGUGGCUUUGAGUGACACAUAUACUGUCCCUUUUCCCCUAGGUUUGUUUGUAAAAACAAUGGUGUGUUGUUUGAAAACCAGCUGCUUCAAAUUGGACUUAAGUCUGAAUUUCGGCAGAAUUUAGGUCGGAUGUUUAUCUUUUAUGGUAAUAAGACCUCCACGCAGUUCCUAAACUUUACCCCAACACUAAUCUGUUCAGACGACCUUCAGCCUAACCUGAACCUGCAGACCAAGCCCGUGGACCCGACCGUGGAGGGGGGCGCGCAGGUGCAGCAGGUGGUCAACAUAGAGUGCGUGUCCGACUUCACGGAGGCGCCAGUCCUCAACAUUCAGUUCAGGUAUGGGGGCACCUUCCAGAACGUGUCUGUGCAGCUGCCCAUCACUCUCAACAAAUUCUUCCAGCCGACAGAAAUGGCGUCUCAGGAUUUCUUUCAACGUUGGAAGCAGUUGAGCAAUCCACAGCAGGAAGUGCAGAACAUCUUCAAAGCAAAGCACCCAAUGGACACAGAAGUCACCAAAGCCAAGAUCAUUGGAUUUGGUUCUGCACUUCUUGAAGAAGUUGAUCCUAAUCCUGCGAAUUUCGUGGGAGCUGGAAUCAUCCACACGAAAACCACCCA